rnacentral:rRNA from 1 species
UACGUAGGGUGCAAGCGUUGUCCGGAAUUAUUGGGCGUAAAGAGCUCGUAGGCGGUUUGUCGCGUCGGCUGUGAAAGCCCGGAGCUCAACUCCGGGUCUGCAGUCGAUACGGGCAGACUUGAGUGUUGCAGGGGAGACUGGAAUUCCUGGUGUAGCGGUGAAAUGCGUAGAUAUCAGGAGGAACACCGGCGGUGUAGACGGCUUUCUGGACCGUAGCUGACGCUGAGACACGAAAGCGUGGGUAGCAAACAGG